rnacentral:rRNA from 1 species
AUUGAACGCUGGCGGCAUGCCUUACACAUGCAAGUCGAACGGCAGCGCGGGGCAACCUGGCGGCGAGUGGCGAACGGGUGAGUAAUAUAUCGGAACAUACCCUAGAGUGGGGGAUAACGUAGCGAAAGUUACGCUAAUACCGCAUACGCACUAAGGUGGAAAGUGGGGGAGUCUUCGGACCUCAUGCUCAUGGAGUGGCCGAUAUCUGAUUAGCUAGUUGGUGAGGUAAAGGCUCACCAAGGCGACGAUCAGUAGCUGGUUUGAGAGAACGACCAGCCACACUGGAACUGAGACACGGUCCAGACUCUACGGAGGCAGCAGUGGGAAUUUUGGACAAUGGGGGCAACCCUGAUCCAGCAAUGCCGCGUGAGUGAAGAA